rnacentral:rRNA from 1 species
UUGAAGAGUUUGAUCAUGGCUCAGAUUGAACGCUGGCGGCAGGCCUAACACAUGCAAGUCGAACGGUAACAGGAAACAGCUUGCUGUUUCGCUGACGAGUGGCGGACGGGUGAGUAAUGUCUGGGAAACUGCCUGAUGGAGGGGGAUAACUACUGGAAACGGUAGCUAAUACCGCAUAACGUCGCAAGACCAAAGAGGGGGACCUUAGGGCCUCUUGCCAUCGGAUGUGCCCAGAUGGGAUUAGCUAGUAGGUGGGGUAAAGGCUCACCUAGGCGACGAUCCCUAGCUGGUCUGAGAGGAUGACCAGCCACACUGGAACUGAGACACGGUCCAGACUCCUACGGGAGGCAGCAGUGGGGAAUAUUGCACAAUGGGCGCAAGCCUGAUGCAGCCAUGCCGCGUGUAUGAAGAAGGCCUUCGGGUUGUAAAGUACUUUCAGCGGGGAGGAAGGGAGUAAAGUUAAUACCUUUGCUCAUUGACGUUACCCGCAGAAGAAGCACCGGCUAACUCCGUGCCAGCAGCCGCGGUAAUACGGAGGGUGCAAGCGUUAAUCGGAAUUACUGGGCGUAAAGCGCACGCAGGCGGUUUGUUAAGUCAGAUGUGAAAUCCCCGGGCUCAACCUGGGAACUGCAUCUGAUACUGGCAAGCUUGAGUCUCGUAGAGGGGGGUAGAAUUCCAGGUGUAGCGGUGAAAUGCGUAGAGAUCUGGAGGAAUACCGGUGGCGAAGGCGGCCCACGAAGACUGACGCUCAGGUGCGAAAGCGUGGGGAGCAAACAGGAUUAGAUACCCUGGUAGUCCACGCCGUAAACGAUGUCGACUUGGAGGUUGUGCCCUUGAGGCGUGGCUUCCGGAGCUAACGCGUUAAGUCGACCGCCUGGGGAGUACGGCCGCAAGGUUAAAACUCAAAUGAAUUGACGGGGGCCCGCACAAGCGGUGGAGCAUGUGGUUUAAUUCGAUGCAACGCGAAGAACCUUACCUGGUCUUGACAUCCACGGAAGUUUUCAGAGAUGAGAAUGUGCCUUCGGGAACCGUGAGACAGGUGCUGCAUGGCUGUCGUCAGCUCGUGUUGUGAAAUGUUGGGUUAAGUCCCGCAACGAGCGCAACCCUUAUCCUUUGUUGCCAGCGGUCCGGCCGGGAACUCAAAGGAGACUGCCAGUGAUAAACUGGAGGAAGGUGGGGAUGACGUCAAGUCAUCAUGGCCCUUACGACCAGGGCUACACACGUGCUACAAUGGCGCAUACAAAGAGAAGCGACCUCGCGAGAGCAAGCGGACCUCAUAAAGUGCGUCGUAGUCCGGAUUGGAGUCUGCAACUCGACUCCAUGAAGUCGGAAUCGCUAGUAAUCGUGGAUCAGAAUGCCACGGUGAAUACGUUCCCGGGCCUUGUACACACCGCCCGUCACACCAUGGGAGUGGGUUGCAAAAGAAGUAGGUAGCUUAACCUUCGGGAGGGCGCUUACCACUUUGUGAUUCAUGACUGGGGUGAAGUCGUAACAAGGUAACCGUAGGGGAACCUGCGGUUGGAUCACCUCCUU